UUUCCGUAUGUGAACCUGCGGAAGGAUCAUUAUCCAACCAAAACCAGGUGCGGUCCUGGCCUCCAGGUGAUAACCUGGGUGGUUUCGCGCCGCAUUCCUGCACCCUUUUUUUACGAGCACCUUUGUUCUCCUUCGGCGGGGCAACCUGCCGCUGGAACUUAAUAAAACCUUUUUUUGCAUCUAGCAUUACCUGUUCUGAUACAAAUAAUCGUUACAACUUUCAACAAUGGAUCUCUUGGCUCUGGCAUCGAUGAAGAACGCAGC
rnacentral:misc_RNA from 1 species